CCUGCUUGCUUUCACCUGUGCCUCGUCUCCAGUCGUUCAGCUUGGAUUACCACCUGUACACCCACAGAAAAAGAGCCGUAUAAAACCUCAGAUGUUCUUACCGUGCGGUGCGACUGCAGGAGGGAGCUGGGAGUCCGGAGAGCGGCGGCUGACGACGCUUCUGCAGCUUUUAUCCGGCAGCAGUCUGUGGGCGUUCGGUGUGGGGAGCUGCAGAUCUGAGGUCAGCCAGCCUGCCGGUCAAACUGCCCACCAAUCGGGUCGGUCCACCUCCCCUCACUCCACUGCAGCGACUUACUGACGGUGCACGGACCGGGUUUAACUGUUCUGGUCAGCAGUUCACCAGAGGCUCUUCACCUGAGAUAAGAUGUUUUACUGAAUUAAAGGAUCUACAUCCAGA